GUGCUUACUUCGGAAGCACACAUACUAAAAUUGGAACGAUACAGAGAUUAGAAUGGCCCCUGUACAAAGAUGACAUACACAUUUGUGAAGCAUUCCAUAUUUUU